GUCCCGACAGUAAACGAUGGGAACUAGGUGACGGAGGUAUCGACCCCUCCGGUGCCGCAGCUAACGCAUUAAGUUCCCCGCCUGGGGAGUACGGCCGCAAGGUUGAAACUCAAAGGAAUUGACGGGGGCCCGCACAAGCAGUGGAGUAUGUGGUUUAAUUCGACGCAACGCGAAGAACCUUACCUGGGUUUGACAUGCAGGAGAAAGCAUCAGAGAUGAUGCCCCGGCUUCGGUCGCUGCUGCACAGGUGCUGCAUGGCUGUCGU
rnacentral:rRNA from 1 species